AGAGAGGUGACUGAGUGGCCAAAGGUACUCCGCUAUACCAGGGAGUAAGCAUGUCUGUGCUUCGAGGGUUCGAAUCCCUCCCUCUCAC
rnacentral:tRNA from 2 species